rnacentral:rRNA from 1 species
CAUGAAGUUGGAAUUGCUAGUAAUCGCGAAUCAGAAUGUCGCGGUGAAUACGUUCCCGGGCCUUGUACACACCGCCCGUCACACCAUGGGAGUCGGUAACACCCGAAGCCUGUAGUCUAACCGCAAGGAGGACGCAGUCGAAGGUGGGAUUGAUGACUGGGGUGAAGUCGUAACAAGGUAAC